AAGGUCUGUAAUCUUGGUGGGCAAUACAGAGUUAUGUGUGUUCACUGUAAGGGCAGACCAACAAGAACUUUUUCCUACUUUUUAGCCACCUCUUUUUAAUAGGAGUGAUUCUUCCAGUUGCCAGGGAGAAAUUGUGGUAACUGGAGUGAGAGAGUGGGAACAGGGCAUGUUAAAAG
rnacentral:snoRNA from 1 species